GUGUCCUUUGAGGCCAGAAGAGUGUGUUUGGAGCUGCCAUUUGGGUGCUGAGAACCAAAUCUGGUGUCUUCUGCAAGAGUAGCAAGUGCUCUUAACUCUUGGCCACCUCUCCAGUCCUCCUCCUCUGCUUCUUAAACUUUGCAUUUCUCAAGAUCACUUGUAUGCAUGAGGUGAGGAUAGAACUGCCUGAACUUUGGUGAGCUGAGCCCCACAGCUAAGAACAUUCUGAACAUGAUGACUACUACAAGGGGCUGUUGUGACUAACACCAGGGCUUUUUAUUUCUAGUCUAUGGAUUAAUCUACAGUUACUCUGUCUGCCUACUGACAGCCAUGGAAGAGUGUCUCAGUAACAUGGUCAUAGAUAACGAUACUGAAAAAGGCAGAUGGCCUUGGGCUCCUGUUCUGUGGGAGAGAUACCUCGAAGGAAACUUCUUGGGUUAAAAGAUAUGGACAGUCAAAACACUGAUAGAUUCCCUCAGUUACCCUCCAAAAUAAGACCAACUGUGACCAACAGUUCACUUGCCUGGAAAAAGAGAUAAAUACGUAUCUUCCCCUACUCUGUGUUCUGGAUUCUUCUCUUCCUUCCUGUGCAAAGCCUAAGUGAACAUGGAAUAGAACACAGAUCCACCCUUUUCUUCUCUGUAUUGCAGAGUCUGGCCACAGCUAAAGGACCAAAAUGACUGAUUCAAAAUACUUCACAACAACCAAGAAAGGGGAGAUCUUCGAGCUGAAGGCAGAGCUUAACAGUGACAAGAAGGAGAAGAAGAAGGAGGCAGUAAAGAAAGUGAUUGCAUCAAUGACUGUGGGCAAAGAUGUCAGAGCUUGCUUUGCUGAUAAUGCCUGAGAGAACCAUUUGGGCGAUUCACUUCCUCUUCCUCUCUCCAGAGUGGCUCUGUUCUUGAUGGUGCAUCAUCUUUCCAGGUGAUUUUAUCCAUUGCAGCUCUGAAGGAACAUGGCCUGAUGGGUAUCCACUUCAUUUUCUAUGUUACCUUGUUCUUGGCAUUAAAACCCAAGAAUUAAGCUGGGCAUUGUAGGCACAUGCCUUUAAUCCCAGC
rnacentral:lncRNA from 1 species